rnacentral:lncRNA from 1 species
CUUGAAUCUAAAAACAUCAUCAAUGGGACCCACUAAACAAAUCAAAUCAUGUGAUAGACACGUGUGAGCACGCGCUUAGUAUACGGUUGUCGCUUUAGGUUUUGGUUGCUCUAUAAUACAACCAAUACAACUAGGGGGUCCCCUUCGGAUGUGACCAACUGCUCCACUGCUCUCUCUCUCUCUCUCUCCCCCUAUUCUUUUCUUUUUUGUUCGAAAUCUCCCCUUUUUUUUGGGGUCAAUUUUUCCCUAUUCUUUUCUCUCCUCUUCAAAAUCUGAUAGGCACCCUACACCAGCCUUGGUCUUUCCCAGUUGAAAGUUAGAUGAUCUGAUCUGGGUAAUUGUCAUCCGUUGAUAAAUCUAAAUUUUAUUAAAACUUGUGGCUAGCGUACGUGAGGGAUUGUUAAUUGUUAAUAAAGUCCUCUCACAAUAAAUUAACAAUCCCUCACCAUAAGUUUCCCAUGAAUCAAUAACUAACAUUCACUUUUGUACAUCUUAAUCAUUGUAUAAAGUGAAAUAUCAAUCACUAAAAUCAAUUCAUGGAUUUGUAAGUGAUGAUUAACAAAUAAUAGAAAUAUGUGUCAUGGUACAUUUUACGUUAAUCAAUACUUGACAUUCACCCACACUACACGUGUAAAAAAAAAAAAUCAUUCACAAGCACUAAAAAGAGACAGAUCAAUCCAGUUAAAAAAAAUAGCAUGUUUUCAAUAAAUAAAAACUAGUCGCUAAAUUUAAUUCCAUGCAAUUGUUUUUUUAUUUUAUGUGACAAAAACAUUCUCACAUAGAUUUUUCUCUCCGGGUUAGCCAUAUAAUAAGUUGUUCAUGUGGGCCAUCAAAUUUAGAGUCGUGCAUAAUAACUAAUAAGAGGGUAAUAAGUACCUUGGGAAAUGUUUAGCAACUAAUCUGAAAUCAUUAGCAAUGCCAUUUUAUUUUAUUGGUUGUAACCCAUGCCUAAUUAUUUGGGCCAUAAAUAAAUGAUAAAAUUGGGCUGGACUAUAGGGAAGCCCAAGUACGAAGAUGCUAAAUUUGUACAUCAUGGCAACAACAUGUUCUUUUAUUGGUGGAAGACAUUGUUGACUGGGGUUUGGGGCCACCACCAUCUUUAAGAGCACCUCGAAUCUCGCACCUUUUAAUCAAUACGACAACGUGUCCAUUAAUGAGCUAAGGUCCCUAUCUCCACAGUUGCCCUCUCCUCUCUCACCUCCCAUAACAUUGCUGUCCUUUGUGUGAGUAAAUCAUGUCUUGUCAUCGCUUGUAUACUUUAC